rnacentral:rRNA from 1 species
GAUGAACGCUGACAGAAUGCUUAACACAUGCAAGUCAACUUGAACUUCGGUUUGGGUGGCGGACGGGUGAGUAACGCGUAAAGAACUUGCCUCACAGAUAGGGACAACAUUUGGAAACGAAUGCUAAUACCUGAUAUUAUGAUUUUAGGGCAUCCUAGAAUUAUGAAAGCUAUAUGCGCUGUGAGAGAGCUUUGCGUCCCAUUAGCUAGUUGGAGAGGUAACGGCUCACCAAGGCGAUGAUGGGUAGCCGGCCUGAGAGGGUGAUCGGCCACAAGGGGACUGAGACACGGCCCUUACUCCUACGGGAGGCAGCAGUGGGGAAUAUUGGACAAUGGACCAAGAGUCUGAUCCAGCAAUUCUGUGUGCACGAUGAAGUUUUUCGGAAUGUAAAGUGCUUUCAGUUGGGAAGAAAGAAAUGACGGUACCAACAGAAGAAGUGACGGCUAAAUACGUGCCAGCAGCCGCGGUAAUACGUAUGUCACAAGCGUUAUCCGGAUUUAUUGGGCGUAAAGCGCGUCUAGGUGGUUAUGUAAGUCUGAUGUGAAAAUGCAGGGCUCAACUCUGUAUUGCGUUGGAAACUGUGUAACUAGAGUACUGGAGAGGUAAGCGGAACUACAAGUGUAGAGGUGAAAUUCGUAGAUAUUUGUAGGAAUGCCGAUGGGGAAGCCAGCUUACUGGACAGAUACUGACGCUGAAGCGCGAAAGCGUGGGUAGCAAACAGG